AGAGUUUGAUCCUGGCUCAGGACGAACGCUGGCGGCGCGCCUAACACAUGCAAGUCGAACGGGACUAUUUUGGGAGAAGUUUUCGGAUGGAUCUCGGGAUAGUUUAGUGGCGGACGGGUGAGUAACACGUGAGCAACCUGCCUUCGAGAGGGGAAUAACGGCUGGAAACGGUCGCUAAUACCGCAUAACAUACUGGAGGGACAUCCCUUUGGUAUCAAAGAUUAUAUCGCUCGGAGAUGGGCUCGCGUCCGAUUAGGUAGUUGGUGAGGUAACGGCUCACCAAGCCGACGAUCGGUAGCCGGACUGAGAGGUCGAACGGCCACAUUGGGACUGAGACACGGCCCAGACUCCUACGGGAGGCAGCAGUGGGGGAUAUUGCACAAUGGGGGAAACCCUGAUGCAGCGACGCCGCGUGUGGGAAGACGGUCCUCUGGAUUGUAAACCACUGUCCCCAGGGACGAAGAUGACGGUACCUGGGGAGGAAGCUCCGGCUAACUACGUG
rnacentral:rRNA from 1 species